AUGCACCAUCAACAGUUGUCUUACUGUAUUACCCAGUUUGUCGAAAAAGAUUGCAAGCUUCCAUACACAGUUAUCACGGGCCUACUGAAAUAUUGGCCCAUCAGAAACAACACCAAGGAGGUGAUGUGUUUGGGAGAGUUGGAAGAGAUACUAGAAGCUACACAGCCUGCGGAGUUUCAGAAAUGCAUGGUUCCUCUUUUCCGCCAGAUUGCAGGUUGUCUGAAUAAUUCUCACUUUCAGGACUGUUUGGGAUAUCAAGCAGAAAAUUGUUCUUGGCAUGGCUGUCAAUCGUGGCUGCUACAUUGGUCAAAGCCAGAGCCUUAA
rnacentral:rRNA from 1 species